rnacentral:rRNA from 1 species
AAUAUUGGACAAUGGGGGCAACCCUGAUCCAGCCAUGCCGCGUGUGUGAAGAAGGUCUNCGGAUUNUNACGCACUUUAAGUUGGGNGGAAGGGCUUUAGGUUAAUACCCUGAAGUUUUGACGUUACCAACCGAAUAAGCACCGGCUAACUCUGUGCCAGCAGCCGCGGUAAUCCAGCGGGUGCAAGGGUUAAUCGGAAUUACUGGGUGUAAAGCGCGCGUAGGGGGUGCAGUAAGAUGGGUGUGAAAUCCCCGGGCUUAACCUGGGAACUGCUUUCAUAACUGCUGAGCUAGAGUACGGUAGAGGGUAGUGGAAUUUCCUGUGUAGCGGUGAAAUGCGUAGAUAUAGGAAGGAACACCAGUGGCGAAGGCGACUACCUGGACUGAUACUGACACUGAGGUGCGAAAGCGUGGGGAGCAAACA